AUAAAUAGUGACAUAAUGAUGGUGUUCCAAGCAAAUCAUGCUCGAGUUCAAGUUUUUGGUGCCGUAGCUUGUCUCUCCUGUCCUAUUAGGGUCCUGUUUGCAUCCAACCAGUUGUUUCCAAGAGCUAGGCUUUGAUACUUAAAAUAAGAACCACUAUGGGUAUUUCUAGUUAUAGUUUCUUUCUAGUUUUAUUUGUUGUCAUAAUCCCAACCCUAGAAGCUCAUAUCGCUGAGUAUGACGAGUACUGGACGGCACGAGAAUUGGAAGCCAUUGAGAACCUGGACAAGGCCUAUCACUCCAACCCGGAGGAGGUGGUCCGCCAUUACAAUGACCACUUCUCUAGGACCUAUGCUCGAGUUUUAUAUCACCAAAAGGGUGUUGGCAGAAUCAAAAAAGGGUCCCUGUGAGGUUACCAACCACGUUGACAGUUGCUGGCGAUGUGAUCCUGACUGGGAAAAGAAUAGGAAGAAGUUGGCCAACUGUGCCCCUGGAUUUGCUCGAGGUACUACCGGUGGAAAGGAUGGUGAGUUUUACGUGGUCACUGACCCUAUUGAUAAUGCUGCUGACCCCAAGCCUGGAACUCUAGCGUCAUGCUGUCACCCAAACUGGACCACUUUGGAUCACUUUCAAAGGGUCCAUGACCAUCAAGCUGCAACAGGAGCUCAUUGUUACAAGUGAUAAGACCAUUGAUGCGAGGGGAGCCAAUGUGGAAAUUUGUAAUGGUGCUGGUAUCACUAUCCAAUUUGUGAAGAAUAUCAUUAUCCAUGGCCUUCAAAUCCAUCACAUUAUUCCCGCCAAGGGUGGCAAGAUCAAGGAUGGUGAAAACCACCAUGGGUUACGGGGUGACAGCGACGGAGACGGGGUGUCUAUUUUCGGAUCAACCAAUGUUUGGCUUGACCAUCUUGCCCUUCACCAUUGCGCCGAUGGCCUUAUCGAUGUCGUUCAAGGAUCAACUGCCGUUACCGUUUCUAACUGCCACUUCACUGACCAUAACGAUGUAAGCUUACUUUCCUUUCAAUUUUAAACUACGCACGAUGAGGAAUUUUUUGAUUGACAAAAAUAAUACAAUUGAAAUGAAAAAAAUUACAGGUGAUGUUGUUUGGAGCAAGCGACUCUUACAGUGCCGACAAGAAGAUGCAGGUCACUGUUGCUUUGAACCACUUCGGUAAAGGAUUGGUAGAGAGGAUGCCUAGGUGCCGAUUUGGUUUUAUUCAUGUCGUCAACAAUGACUACAAUCACUGGUUCCUGUAUGCCAUUGGCGGCACCAGCAAUCCUACAAUUAUCAGCCAGGGAAAUAGGUAUUCAGCGCCAGGCUUUGGGGCUAAAGAGGUGACCUGUAGGGGCCUCUUAAAGCCGGGACAGUGGAAGAAUUGGAAUUGGGUAUCACAAGGUGACCACUUCGAGAACGGUGCCUUUUUUACACCAUCAGGUAAUCCAAGUGCCAGCAAGCAAUUUGGCGCCGACAAAAUGAUGCCUUUCAAACCUGGUCAAAUGGUCCCCGAACUCACAAAGUAUGCCGGACCACUAAGCUGCACAAUCGGCCGUCCUUGCUAAAAACUGCUAUUUUUAUAUGCAUAUGUCCUCCCUUUUUUACGUACAAUAUUUGAUACCCAAGCAUAGUACAUUUGGUAUCUUUUCUGAAUGAUUGUCAGUAAAUUUUCUUUUAUGCGAUCCCACCCUAUUCUCUUCUUCUCUCCUAGUAAUAGAUAAUCACAAUUUUUUUCUCACGCGUAACUGUGGAAAUCAUAAAUUUAGAACAUAAAUGUUUGUUUGAAAAUAACAUAUAAUGAAUAAUGAAAUGUGUGGUUUGAAAUAAAGUAACAAUAAUAACAUUGAUUAUCAUGGUGUUUUCAUCAAUCUUUAGUUGGUGUAGGCACCAAAUCAAUCAAAUACAUUAAUCUAACAUAUCUAGUAUAUAUAUUCUAUUGCAAGGUUUUUUUGGAUUUGUGGAAACCUUCAGUUUGAAGUGAGUUUAGAAUUCGCUAUGCGUCACCAAUCAUUUCAUGACAGGAAUGGAAAUUAAUGAAAUAAAAUAUUUGGUUAGAACUAAAGUUGCGUAAUUAAUUAAAAAUUUUAACAAUCGCGAGACCAUUUAGUUUCUAUAAAUUUUGUAUGUCCCAACUUACAUAUUCCGGGUAAUUAGUCAUUUGUCAAAACACAUCAAAGUGAGAAAAGAAAGAAACAAGAAUCAUGAGUCAUUCCUCAUAUAGUAAUAUUCGUAAUAAUGCAAUCGCAACGGUGAUUCCACCAGGUGUUCUUGCAUCACCAAGAACUAAAUUGAUUUUCUAGAACAAGAUUUAUAAUGGAGACAUCAAGUAUGUAUUUAAGGUUGUGUAUGAGUUAGAUUUCUUUAAGACUCAGCGGAGGGUCGGGGAGCCGCCCAAGACAUUGCUUUUACCAGUAUAAAGUCAACUACCGAAGCAAAAAAACUUGCAAAGCUGAGAGGACAUAGGAUUAAUAAUUCAGCACCUAUGUUUUGAGUUGCUCCAUAGUUGACGCAGUGGUAUUAGCUUAGUAAGGGCUUAAAUAAUCGUAUAGAUAUUUAUAAUUGAUGGACAUAAUAAAGUAUGCUUAACAAAUUUGAAAAUCAAAAAAGAAAAUCAAUGUCUUGGUACAGUGUUAAAUUUAUGGUUUUACUAGCAUAAUAAUUGAUUUGGGUUCAAAUCCCUUCGACAACAUAUUUUAUAUUCUUUUAAAACAAUAAGAAUUAAAAUAACCUUCAAUAAUAUAACUUAUUUUAAACAUGAAAGGAAUGUAUUUCUAAUUUCCGUAAUAGAGUCGAUGCUCGAUCGACUCAUGUCACCGAAUUAGUUAAGGACUUCAAUAAAUGUUAGUAUAGAUUGUAACAAUAAUGAAAUAUGCAUUAAAAAUCACCACAGAGGUUCAAUAUACACUCGAAUCUCUGUACUCUUUUAGACUUUUAAAAUUUGAAUACAUAGUACUUUUAUAUUCAAAGGUCCAAGUAAUAAAUUAGAGUCCAAUUCAUAUCACAUAUUCAGAUUUGAGAGAAAUAAAUAAACUCUCUUACCAAUUGAACUUUUAUUUUUUAAAUCAACCAAGUGCAAGGAUUAAAAUCUUGAAAUUGAAAGGAGAGAGGUUUCAUCUGGAAAUGUUGAAGAGUAAAGGGAUUGGAGGAUAAUUAGAGAUUUUUUUUUGUAAUUUCUGAAAUUAGACGUUUAGAAUGGUCUAAAAAAUACAAGAAAACCUCAACUGUUUCUAUCCAAAAAAAGGAAACAAAAUCCAACCAUUUUUUACGCACUUGAAACACUAGUAGCCAAGUGUGUUUUGUAAAUUUGGAAAUUUUCAUGAAUCCCGGUGUACUAUAAAUAGUGACAUAAUGAUGGUGUUCCAAGCAAAUCAUGCUCGAGUUCAAGUUUUUGGUGCCGUAGCUUGUCUCUCCUGUCCUAUUAGGGUCCUGUUUGCAUCCAACCAGUUGUUUCCAAGAGCUAGGCUUUGAUACUUAAAAUAAGAACCACUAUGGGUAUUUCUAGUUAUAGUUUCUUUCUGUUUUUAUUUGUUGUCAUAAUCCCAACCCUAGAAGCUCAUAUCGCUGAGUAUGACGAGUACUGGACGGCACGAGAAUUGGAAGCCAUUGAGAACCUGGACAAGGCCUAUCACUCCAACCCGGAGGAGGUGGUCCGCCAUUACAAUGACCACUUCUCUAGGACCAUGCUCGAGUUUUAUAUCACCAAAAGGGUGUUGGCAGAAUCAAAAAAGGGUCCCUGUGAGGUUACCAACCACGUUGACAGUUGCUGGCGAUGUGAUCCUGACUGGGAAAAGAAUAGGAAGAAGUUGGCCAACUGUGCCCCUGGAUUUGCUCGAGGUACUACCGGUGGAAAGGAUGGUGAGUUUUACGUGGUCACUGACCCUAUUGAUAAUGCUGCUGACCCCAAGCCUGGAACUCUGCGUCAUGCUGUCACCCAAACUGGACCACUUUGGAUCACUUUCAAAGGGUCCAUGACCAUCAAGCUGCAACAGGAGCUCAUUGUUACAAGUGAUAAGACCAUUGAUGCGAGGGGAGCCAAUGUGGAAAUUUGUA
rnacentral:lncRNA from 1 species